rnacentral:lncRNA from 1 species
AACAAAGUCACUGCGCUGACAGUGUGCGGGGAACAGCAGAGGAGAAACCUAAUCUCAGAACCCAACAACACCUAGCAACAGUUGAAAAAACUUUGAAACAAAAGUCCGGGUGGGAGAUAGGCGACUUCCAAUUCCUGCUGAUCCUGACUGAAGGAGAAGCUGCAGCUACUCUGUCCGUUUCCUGUAUGACUUCAGCUACUGGCUAGUCCCAGCAGAGUGGGAAAAGCGGUUUUUUUUCCCCCUCAGUCUUCUUUUGGGCUGGCUAGUUUUUCAGGACUCAGUCUUGGACUGUGGGACAAGCCACUGGGUUCUUCAAGGGAUAAACCAGCGGAGAAAGAACACACCUUUGGUUAAAGGAGACGACAACAGGUAAGUCCCCCCUCCCUUGCCCCCCAAGUAGCUACUUACUGUUAAGAAAUUUCUUUCCACAAGAAGAAGGUUCGCUCCAAUUCUGCUUUGUCUCUUGCUUGGUCUCUGCACGUGUAGGAAUUAUUAGAAUCAGUGUGAAUUAUUAAAAAAAAAAAAAAUCAAAACCUUUUUCUCUUUCUCAGAGUCAUACCGAUUCCCUUUUAAAGACAACAUUUUGUGAUAUCUUCAUAGUCAUCAAGCUAGCCCUGCUGAGUUAUUCAUGUUCGUGCAGGUGAUAGAAAUAUGACGAAAGUACAACCAGGGUCGCUAGCUAAGGCAUGGAAGGGACAUUUUCCCAGGGACAAAAUAGCUAUUAUUUACUGAAACUAGCUAAGCUGCUUGUGAGGUAACUGAGGAAAGUCCUGUAUGCUGUCCCACGUUGCUGUGCUGUUGACCCGCUUCUUUGUGGGCUCGGUUUGCUGGGUUCUCUGAUUGCACCGGGACACCUUGUGCUGGUUCUGACCUCAUUUGCCUGCAGUUGCCCAAAUGCAUCUGACUCGCGCAAAAUAUGCCUGCUGCUGAUUCACUGAGAAUGUUGUGGUACUUAAACUAAUUAAAUUGAGUGAUUGCCUUUGUGCAGAUAAUAGAUUCUGCUUUAAGAAACUUAGAAUUUUUUUUUAAGGAAAAAAAAACCUCAAUCUUUUCAUAAGCUGUGUGGGUGUGAGUAAGAGUGUAUUUCCAGUUGUGUGAAGGAAGUUCUGGCAUUCUCUGAGGGUAUAUUGUCUCCCCUUCCAGAAGGUGACAUGCACUUUAAUCAGAAUUGCUUACACAGAACAAUUUCAUGUUAGUCUCCCAGCUUGUGGCUAUAAACCACUGAUACUGUCAGUAUUGAUUCCUGGUGGUGGGUAGUUGGGGCCAAAUUUGCAUAAGAGGAUGGAUUAUUUCUUUAAAUAAUUCAGAGAGUUUGGAUGAAUAAACCCAAGAAUAAGAUCAAAGAAAAUACUGAAGAACAUUCUUUUUUUUAAAUUAAUUGUACACUGGACUUGGAAGCUCAUGCGUGUGAUCCAGUAAUGGAAAGACUGAGGCAGGAAGAUUGCUGUGAGUUCAAAGCUAACCUGAGUGAAAUAGUAGCUACAUAGUAAAUUUUAGUCUAGCCUGGCUACAGAGUAACACUGCCUUUAAAGACCAAACAAAACAAAAAAACUUAUUUGUGUCUAUUUUGUCAAUCU